GAUGAACGCUGGCGGCGUGCCUAAUACAUGCAAGUCGAGCGAACAGACGAGGAGCUUGCUCCUCUGACGUUAGCGGCGGACGGGUGAGUAACACGUGGAUAACCUACCUAUAAGACUGGGAUAACUUCGGGAAACCGGAGCUAAUACCGGAUAAUAUAUUGAACCGCAUGGUUCAAUAGUGAAAGACGGUUUUGCUGUCACUUAUAGAUGGAUCCGCGCCGCAUUAGCUAGUUGGUAAGGUAACGGCUUACCAAGGCAACGAUGCGUAGCCGACCUGAGAGGGGGAUCGGCCACACUGGAACGGAGACACGGUCCAGACUCCUACGGUAGGCAGCAGUAGGGAAUCUGCCGCAAUGGGCGAAAGCCUGACGGAGCAACGCCGCGUGAGUGAUGAAGGUCUUCGGAUCGUAAAACUCUGUUAUUAGGGAAGAACAAAUGUGUAAGUAACUAUGCACGUCUUGACGGUACCUAAUCAGAAAGCCACGGCUAACUACGUG
rnacentral:rRNA from 1 species